AGGGAGUUUAUUUUGGAAAUCAUUCUAGGGACCAGAAAUGAGGGAUGAACAGGAGUGGGAAACAAGAGAAAGCAGAAGAGCCAAGAUAACGGUGCAUUAUUAGGUCACUGCCGUGGGUGGCUGGGGCUCAGCGCUGCCAGGACCUUCCAAGCAGUGCACAAAGGGACCUUAUGGGCCAGAUGAUGGCCUGGCAGAAGCAUUCACCCGGUGGCGCCUGUGCACCCCAGGUUGAGGCUGGCUCAGUGGAAGCAACUUCCCUCCAGAAGUCCUCCCGCUGAGCCCGCUCCUGCCAACCUUGUGUUGGGGCGCUGCGGAAGCCCCUGGGCAGAAAAUGAAAACCGCCUCAUGCUGACAGGAGGCGAGGUGCUGGUGGUGCAAAGGGAGCUGAAGCCCGCCCGGAACUGCUUGCCACAGCAUGGCUGGAAAUAGAGUUGUAGCCGCGCACGUGGCAGGCGGCGUUCAGAAGGAAUCUGGUGCAUUCUCUCGUAGUUAUGAAAACAGGCUCUGGAGCCAGGCUGUCUUGAUUCCAAUCCUUCUGCUGUGCUUCCUUUCCUUCCACUUACAGAAGGGGGAAUACUAAGAAGAAAGUACUUUAUAGGGUUGUUAUGAAGUAAAUGAGAAAAUCCAUGCAAGAUGCUUGUAAUAGUGCCUGGCACAUAAUAAACACUCAAUUAAGAGCAGCUUCUAAUAUCCCCAUUUUACAGUUGAGGAAAUUGAGAUACGUAUCUUUUGAGGGAUGAGGAGAAAGGGGACAAAGAAAGGGAGGGAAGGAUUUCGAGUAGAUCCCGCUCAAACCUCCAGAGAAGUGGAGGCCCUGGCUCUCUCAGUGUUUCUAUGUCCUCUUUCCCUAUCACAGGAGAGGCCCAAGGAUGGGGAGCAAAGGCUUUCUUCCUCAUACAGGCAUUCAAGCUUCCUCUGCUCCAGCUACAGGGUCCGUGGGUUCCUUGUGAUGUCACAGCUGGUUGCUAUGGAGACCAGGUUGCUGUGAAUGUCAGUCCGAGGCCCAUUAGGAGCACAGUGAUCAGCAGCCCAGGCCAGCCCAGGGAGACAAGAAAAUGAGGCUCCCUGUGAGGUCUAAUAAACACCUCUCGCCACACCCCAAACACACAGACACACAACAGAGCCCGCAGGUCCUGAGUGAGUCCGCUGGCCCACCCCAUUCAGCUGAGAUCUGACAACAUAUGUUUGGGGACAAACAGCCCCAGCAGCCAGGAGCAGGCCACGUCAUACAUAGUCAGCAUCAGCCAUAGUCCCCUCUCACUCUCCUGGGGGAAAAAGGUGCUGCUUACAGGCAGCGUGGCAUCCGAGCAUCCCCAUGGCGAUGCUGAGGUCAGACAUCACUGUGGUGAUCUCACACUGGGGCCACCGGGCUCAGGCCAGGCCGGGAGUAGGCUGUCUACCCAUCGCUGGCUGUCAUUGUCACCAAGGGAAGAGGAGAAGCUGUGAAGAGUUGCUCUGGAAAAAACAAAUCUGCUCAUAGGACAAUGGGUCUGGGUGAACCUAUCCCGGCCCUCUUGGCUGCUGGGCCAGGGCCUGGUUUUUCACAGGGCACAAUUAAGGCCACAGGAAGUGGCGUCCUGCCUCUGAAGACAGCACACAACUACCCUAGAAAGCGCUCUUGUCACCCCUGCUGGUAGAGAAUCAAAGGCUUGUAGAUGUCUUUGCCGCUUCCACGGGAUCUCUGAGAGCUGGAAACUGAGCUUUAAGAAAUAACUAUAGUGCAAAUGGAACUAAAGGAAAAGGGUUCAGCCCAAAGCAGAAUGGACUGUGAUGAUCAGUGACCUCCUGAGGCCAGCCUGGUGGUAGCAGCCAGAGACAGCAGCUGAGUGAGACCCCAAGGGAGGGAUGAGCCGGGCAGUGUGUGGUUGGAGUUCUCCCAAUACAUCUCGUUUUCCUCACCUCCAGAUCACACACAUGCACACACACACCCCUUACACACUCCGGCCCGAAGGUUUCUGCAGGACUCCUUCCUGGCGCUCUGUCCAUUGUUGCCAGCGUCGCACCACACUGCAAGGCUUUGCAAACCUUCCUUCCAAAGUGAAGGAGACCCUCUGGCCGUCUGAGGCUCGGUCUGAAGCAACAGCUUCAGAGCGCAAUCUCAGGCGUGCAGGAAGUGUGCCGCGUGCCACAUACGUUACCUCACUUAAUCUCAUUAGCAGGAAAUGUCUUUAAAGUCUUAUGUUGGUGCUUAAAAAUUCCUGAGCAGUUUAGCCCUUACUAAAGCCAGGCUUUUUAAAAUUUGAAA